AGUUUUUCUUGGUGGGCGCGGUUUUGGAACAGCCAUGUCUUCUCUAAUUUUGACAGUGCUUGAGUUUAGAGUAUGGUUAUACUUUUGCUUAGGCAGGGUAAUUGCUUUUCUUACUGGUGCUCCUGAUUAUGAAGAUGGUCAACUAGACACUAAGAGAUAUGGUGAGUAAUAUGCUAGCAAAGGGGAAGAUGUUGACCUCAUGUUGCUCCCUGAGCAGAUACCUUCCUAUAGAGAUCCGGUAAGCUUGUGCUUCUUUUGCAGUAAAAAAAAUUCUAUCCAUUAGUGAAAUUUUGAAACAGGCCACUAUGGUGCUGUUGUUGUUCAAGCAGGAGUAUGUGUACACAUAUUUGCAGGCGAAUGCUAUCCUGAGAUUGACUUACAGUUAAUUGCUAUCCUUAGAUUGACCGAACUUCAGUACAUUACUUCUGUUCUGACUUGAAGAUGUCCUCGAAUGCCAAAUUGCUCUCAAACUUUGAACCCCUUUCAUUUUCUUCCAUGUAAAGUUUUUUUUUAAAUGGCAGUGGAUGUUGAGUAAUCUAUGCUAGCAAUGUGAUGUUAGAAAAGGCGUAUUUCUAGACCUGCUUGUAAAUUACUCCACACAAACAAGUGCAUUUUUCUAGACCUGCUUGUAAAUUACUCCACACAAACAAGCAAAUUCAAUAGACAUUUUUACAAGAAUUCAGUAGAUUUCUUCCCAUGGUUGCUAUUUGUUUCUCUUGACCCCUGGUAAUUACUCUUGGCCCCUGGUACUCCAAGAAGACUAUGCAGUUAUCCUAGACUAUUGCAAUCAUCCUUUCAGGUAGCAAUAGCCUUUUUUGAUUUAAAAGCCUGGCUACCAUGGUCCUUGGGUAUAUUUCAUUCUGUGUGCUAACUAGAGAAGACAUGGCAUGCAUGCAUGCACAUAGGCUGUACUUGUUGAACAGGGGAUUUUUUACCUGGAAAUAUUGGUUUACUCUAAUCCACCCAAACUCAGUCUUCAUUUUACUGAAUUUAGAUUAGAUGUUGACUUGUUUCUACCGGGAGAAGAUGUUGGUUUAUUCUUUAUUUUGAUUGUUGUGGUUGCUCGACAAGUUGCCUCUCAGAUUAUUGCUCUCAGUGCAAACUGGAGUAGAUUAAUUAAUUUGGAGUGUGUGGUCUGUGGUGGGCUCAACUCUUCCUCCUGAUGUUGUAAAAAAAUCUUGUUCCACUGGAUGGAUGGAGCCUCUUUUUUCAUCUGAAAGACACCCCACAUUUCUGAAGAUAGAUACACCUACAGUUUCAGCAGUGAAGUAGUACCACACUCUGAUCUGAUCUGUUUCCAAUUGUAAUAAAAGUUGGUUAUUUACUUAUCAGCUGAGUACAAGUAGUGGAGAUUGACUAGUUGUUUCCUUGUGCAAGGUUCACAGCAAAAAACUGGUAUUGAAUUCGCCGCCGGCUCCGAGACCUCGACCGGACGGACGAAAGGCGGAUUGAAAUCAUUGCUAUGGCGCCGUAUAUUAUAUGCAGUCCCACGUUUUCCCCUUCCUUUAUUUAGGUGAGCAUCAUCACAAAACAUGCAUCGUCAGACAGGUGUAGGUUGACUGAAUAUUGACUGAAUAUUGGGCAGGUGAUAUUGAUCUGAGCAGGAUUUGUUUUUAUCUCUGAAUUUGUAUGAUAUGUGAACCCCAAAACAUGCAUCGUCAGACAGGUGUAGGUCGAUGCCCCUCCAUUUUUCACAUCACAGACUAGACUAGGUGAUCAAUUUCUUUUUAAAUGCUAGGAAAAGGGGAGGUGUUCACCAUUCUAUAGAGAGCAGAAAGAUUGAUGGCUAGGGAAACUCAUGGA